rnacentral:rRNA from 1 species
AUGUCGUAAGGGAAAAUAAUGAUACAACCUUACUAAUAGUGUCGUCAAAAGCUGGUGCCAGAAGACUCGGUAAGACCAGAGACGCAAACGUUAAUCAUCUUAAUCAGGCGUAAAGGGUUUGUAGGCUGCUUUGAAAAUCUUAACGGUCCUCCGGACCCCGCGCAGCGGCUUUGGAGGCCUUUCGCUUCCAAAGGAAGGCUGCGCAUGGAUCAAUUAAAGCUAGAAUCAAAUAGAGGUUAUAUUGAAUAAUACUUAGAGGAGGGAUUAAAUCCGUAGAUACUAAGGGGAAUACUUAGGGCGAAGGCAUUUUUCCACUAAUGAUUGACGCUGAGAAACGAAGGUGAGGAUAGGAAAUAGGAUUAGAUACCCCGGUACCCCUCUCAGUCAACGAUGAAUGGUAGUUCCUAGUUCUAGAACUAGAGACGAUGUUAACACGUUAACCAUUCCGCCUUGUGAGUACGAUUGCAAAGUUGAAAACAAAAAAAUUAGUCGGUCUCGGAGCAAACGAAGUGAAG